UUAGCUCAGUCGAUAAAGUGUGAGACUCCUGAUCUCAGGGUCAUGAGUUUGAGCCCAGGUUGGGCAAAA